UGCCAGCCGCCGCGGUAAUACGGAGGGCGCAAGCGUUACUCGGAAUCACUGGGCGUAAAGAGCGUGUAGGCGGGUUAAUAAAGUUUGAAGUGAAAUCCAAUGGCUCAACCAUUGAACUGCUUUGAAAACUGUUAACCUAGAAUAUGGGAGAGGUAAUGGAAUUUCUUGUGUAAGGGGUAAAAUCCGUAAGAGAUCAGAAGGAAUACCGAUUGCGAAGGCGAUCUACUGGAACAUUAUUGACGCUGAGACGCGAAAGCGUGGGGAGCAAACAGGAUUAGAUA
rnacentral:rRNA from 1 species